rnacentral:lncRNA from 1 species
CUUGACCUUUGACCUUGACCUCAUUUUUAUUAUUUUCGACCAAGGACCCCAAAUCUAAAGACCCUAUGUCUUUAUCACUUAUGGUUUACCAUUUAGAAAUGCAUAUCACUUAAUUUAAGGGAAAAGGGGGAAUAACUCUCAUAUGGAGUCUCCGUAAAGCUUCGGUCCAAUGAAUAUCCUAAUCCUGAAGAUGUAACGAGCAAUUUGGUAAAAUAAAUUUGUCGUAAUCUUUAACGGUUGCGAAGGAGUAGUGGCCACAAGAAAAACAGUGUUUGGGGAGAUAACUCUUACAACGUAAAGUAUUUGGUUACGCAGUUGUAAAUUUUUAAAGCGUAUAAACUAUACGACAUCAUAUUCCAAAUAUCUAAGCGACAUCUUUUGAAAUAUCAAUACUACGCAAGAAAAAAAUUUAGGCGGAAGAAAAAAAAAAAAAAAAAUAAUAAUAAUAAUAAUAAUAAUAAUAAUCAGAACAAAUUCAAUAGGUCUUUCCACGGAAAGGUGGAAAGACCUAAUAAUCAGAACAAACCCUAUAGGUCUUUCACCUGAAAGGUUGAAAGACCUAAUAAUAAUAAUAAUAAUAAUAAUCAGAACAAAUACAAUAGGUCUUUCAACAGAAAGGUUGAAAGACCUAAUAAUCAGAAGAAAUCCAAUAGGUCUUUCCACGGAAAGGUGGAAAGACCUAAUAAUCAGAAGAAAUCCAAUAGGUCUUUCCACGGAAAGGUGGAAAGACCUAAUAAUAAUCAGAAGAAAUCCAAUAGGUCUUUCCACGGAAAGGUGGAAAGACCUAAUAAUACUCAUUUCACUUGUCAGAAUGUAUGACAAUAUUUAUCAAAAGUACCAGGAUUAUAAUAUGUCUAUAUGAGACAAUUCAUUUUUGAAAUUAUCAAUUUCUCCCACUUGAGUAGCAAUAUACCAACUUCACCUGCAUAUGGUUAAUACAUUUCCCAACUUAUUUGGUGUUCCAGAGCUUGCAGCUCCUACUCAGACUUUGUCAAAUAUCACCAGUGUCUGAG